AAAUGUGGAAUUGCUUGUGUUUUACUUCCUACUUCCUAUGGUGAUUUGCUCAAAAUUGAUUUGAAGAAGCAUCGUCUGGAUGUUACUAGCAUAAAUGGUGCAAGAGUAGCCAGACUACGCAAGAUAGAUAUGGAAAGCAUGUGAAUGACUUAGAAAAGAAAUUGGGUGACUCAGAUUUGGAUAAAGUCACCUUAAAGAAACACUUGAAUGCCCAAUACUAUGGAGAAAUUGGUAUUGGUUCACUUCCUAUGAAAUUCAAAAUUAUCUUUAAUACAGGGAGUUCUAACCUCUGUGUUUCGCCGUUAAGAUACUAUUUUUCUGUAAGUUAUGCUCUUUAUUAUAUUAAGUUAUUUACCCCUUCACUGGUUUAUCAAAAUUUCUUUCUCACAUUUGAGAUGCUCACAGAUUUCAUAUUGGUUUCGCUUCAAGUACAAAGCGGUCGAGUCCAGCACAUAUACAAAAAAUGCUGAUCAUAGUGUUCCUUUGUACUAAGCAUCUUUGUUUCAUUUAAUGUUUCUUCUGAUUGUGUUUUUUCAGUUUUUUAUAAUCAAGGAAACCUUGGGCAAUUCGUUAUGGAACUGAAAGAGUCUCUGGCUGUUUCAAUCAACACAAUAUUAAAUUGGUGAUCUUGUAGUCAAAGAUCUGGUGAAUUCUUACUUAACAACUGGUUUUUCAUAGAGCCUCUGUGGUACAAUGAAUGAAAUAAUAAAGUUAUUGGCUUAUCCCCCACUAUACAGAAGUAUACAGUUCAUUUUCUCACGAGAAUAGAAUUUUACUAAUUUGUAUGUGCGAUAAUUAUAAAUUCAUCUUUUAGUUGUAUUUAUAUCACAAAUUACUGCUUAAUUGGAAGAACUUGGAUAAUCUCUUGAUCCUUUUAAAGAUAUGAAAUACAACUUCACUUGCACCUGGAGAGUGUUCGAAGAUUGAUUUGAGGAGAAAGGUUUUGUUAUAGCCAACAUGAUGGAUCCAAAAGAUAAAGUGAUUCAUAUCGAGACUUCAUCUACAAAUUAUGUCAAGCAUUGCAGUGUGGUUUUCAGGCUCCAGACACUUUGUCCCUUAAAUGCAGUUCUUUUUCAAACACAUCUGACAUUUUUGGCAAGGAAUUGCUAAUGCAAUACGACCUCUAGAUUUGCACCCGUGUCAGACACCUGCACCGAGUAUGAGCAACUUCAGUUCUUACCAUGUUAAUACAGUUUUUGUCAAGUUUAUAUGCUAUAGU